GACGAACGCUGGCGGCGUGCUUAACACAUGCAAGUCGAACGGAAAGGCCCUGCUUGCCGGGUACUCGAGUGGCGAACGGGUGAGUAACACGUGGGUGAUCUGCCCUGCACUUCGGGAUAAGCCUGGGAAACUGGGUCUAAUACCGGAUAGGAGCCAUUUUUAGUGUGAUGGUUGGAAAGUUUUUUCGGUGUAGGAUGAGCUCGCGGCCUAUCAGCUUGUUGGUGGGGUAAUGGCCUACCAAGGCGGCGACGGGUAGCCGGCCUGAGAGGGUGGACGGCCACAUUGGGACUGAGAUACGGCCCAGACUCCUACGGGAGGCAGCAGUGGGGAAUAUUGCACAAUGGGCGCAAGCCUGAUGCAGCGACGCCGCGUGGGGGAGGACGGCCUUCGGGUUGUAAACGCCUUUCGCUAGGGACGAAGCUUUUUGUGACGGUACCUAGAUAAGAAGCACCGGCUAACUACGUG
rnacentral:rRNA from 1 species